UCCCUGACAGUUCAGUGGUUAGGACUUGGCCCUUUCACUGCUGUGGGUCAGGGUUCAAUCCCUGGUUGGGGAA
rnacentral:tRNA from 1 species